GCCGACCAGAAUCUGCCGCCUCAGUGCGCGCGGCACAGUGUACAGGAAAGCGGAUACGGGCCGACGUUGGCGAGCAGAAGGGAAAAUAUUUUCUUCGCCGGAAGUUUGAAGGCAGAGAUGAAGUAAUUUCCGCUCGGGUUGCGCUGCUCACUUCUAUUUUGGUCAAGUCUUUACGUUAGAGAUCCUUUUGCGGCAUGGCACUAAAGUGUUCAGCUUGCGCUGAGACUCUUUCAUCGUUGAAGCUCGCGGAACAUCGUCGCACCAACGCGAGAAGCCCAUUGAAGUGCGAUGGCUGCUGUAAAAAGUCGAGUGUUGCACUACACCCCAAAAGGCGAACGGGGACCUUUCAAGAGGAUCGAAGCAGGAGCGAACAGUUCCAGGCAGACUAGGACAUCUCCAAAAUCCUCUUCGAAGAAACCGGCUUCCUAAAAGGUUGCCUCUUUGGACCAUGGGUGCUGCACCGUUGCCACUGCCUCAUGAACAGUUUAGCGGUCGGCCUGAGAAGAAGCCUCAUCAAUGCGCGGUUUGCAGAAAAAAGUUUGUUUUUCCAAGUCAACUUCAAUAUCAUCUCGUAACUCACACGGGAGAGAAACUACUUAAGUGCUUCGUAUGCAAUAAAAAGUUUGGAUUUAAAUCUGGCCUGAAACGACACUUUAAGACUCAUUUGGAGGAAAAGCCUUUAGAGUGCAAGGUUUGCAGCAA
rnacentral:misc_RNA from 1 species